rnacentral:rRNA from 1 species
CGCUGGCGGCGUGCCUAACACAUGCAAGUCGAACGAUCUUUGAUUAUAGCAAUAUUAGUUAAAGAGGAGUGGCGAACGGGUGAGUAACACGUAGAUAAUCUGCCUUCAGACGGGGACAACUCAGGGAAACUUGUGCUAAUACCCGAUGAGACCACAAGAAGGGAUUUUUGUGGCCAAAGGCGGGCAGCAAUGCUCGUGCUGAAAGAUGAGUCUGCGUCCUAUCAGCUAGUUGGUGGGGUAAAUGCCUACCAAGGCUAAGACGGGUAGCCGGCCUGAGAGGGUGAACGGCCACACUGGGACUGAGACACGGCCCAGACUCCUACGGGAGGCAGCAGUGAGGAAUUUUCCGCAAUGGGCGCAAGCCUGACGGAGCGACGCCGCGUGAGGGAUGAACCAGCUUUCGGGUUGUAAACCUCUUUUAUUAAGGAAAAAGAUCUAUAUGCUAAUAUCAUGUAGAUUUGAUGGUACUUAUUGAAUAAGCCCCGGCUAACUACGUGCCAGCCGCUGC